rnacentral:rRNA from 1 species
CCUACGGGUGGCAGCAGUGAGGAAUAUUGGUCAAUGGCCGAGAGGCUGAACCAGCCAAGUCGCGUGAGGGAAGACGGCCCUACGGGUUGUAAACCUCUUUUAUCGGGGAGCAAAGCGAGUCACGUGUGACUCAUUGAGAGUACCCGAAGAAAAAGCAUCGGCUAACUCCGUGCCAGCAGCCGCGGUAAUACGGAGGAUGCGAGCGUUAUCCGGAUUUAUUGGGUUUAAAGGGUGCGCAGGCGGAGGUGCAAGUCAGCGGUAAAAUUGCGGGGUUCAACCCCGUAAUGCCGUUGAAACUGCAUCCCUUGAGUGCGCGAGAAGUAUGCGGAAUGCGUGGUGUAGCGGUGAAAUGCAUAGAUAUCACGCAGAACCCCGAUUGCGAAGGCAGCAUACCGGCGUGCAACUGACGCUCAUGCACGAAAGUGUGGGUAUCGAACAGGAUUAGAUACCCCAGUAGUC